GGGGACGGGCUCUGCUCUCCGCCUCCUGAACUCCAGCCCCCGGCUUCGCUUCCUCGGCGGCAGCGUGCUGAGGUUUACGAGGGAGUCUAUUCGACCAGCCCCUCUUAUCUCAGCAACUCUGGCCAGCAAGCAGAAUCAAAACAUCAAUAUAAGAACAAACAACAAUUUAAAAACACAGAAGCAAACAGUGGCAACUGAUGAUUAACUGUCAGCAAGUCUCCACAUCUUUUUUACAUCGUGGCGA